rnacentral:misc_RNA from 1 species
AGCAAUGAAUGACAAAGUGCCUUGCCCAAGGGCACAUGCCCCACAUCCCCAGGCUGGACUCGAACCCACAACCCGCAGAAUUACCCGCAGACCACGAAUUCAAUUCACGGGGCCACGGUACUAUCCGAUUUUGACCCUGUUUUUUUGGUUGCUUUCAAGCCAUACCUUUGCGUAUGUACCGAUAAAAAGCAAGGGCAGAGUGAAAUAUAAAGAGGAAGAAAAAAUGCUGUGCGCAGAAAUAAACUGCAGGCAAAAAAUUGUUUUUAGUGUGUACACAUCUAGGCAGUUUCCCCUUGCUUUGUUAACACCCGGAGUUCAGUUCACUGAUUAUAAUUAUAAAUGCGCAUAUAUUGCUGUGCCACUCAUGCUCAAUAGGCUAUUACGACAAAAGCUUUACCAGAAGCAACGUUUACAGCAGAAGUGACCUUGUUUGGCACAUUGUUGUAAUGUUUAUGGAUGGCAGUGGUGACCUUGUUUUGCACAUUGUUGUGAACCUGAAAGGCCCAUUUUGGCCUUGUGUUGCGAUAAUAGGCUGACUAGCGCUAGCCGAUGCUGGCAAUACCGACAGUGUAAAAACCUUGAAGCAGCAGCAGUAGAUUUGUUUCUGUUUCUGUUCCAUAAACGUACAAACACCUAGAAGGUUGUCGACGUACGUCUGUUUCUGUUCCAUAAACGUACAAACACCUAGAAGGUUGUCGACGUACGUCUGUUUCUGUUCCAUAAACGUACAAACACCUAGAAGGUUGUCGACGUACGUCUGUUUCUGUUCCAUAAACGUACAAACACCUAGAAGGUUGUCGACGUACGUCUGUUUCUGUUCCAUAAACGUACAAACACCUAGAAGGUUGUCGACGUACGUCUGUUUCUGUUCCAUAAACGUACAACGAUUUGAAGGGGAAGACUAAGAAUACUUCACAACAGUUUCAGAUCGGCACGCCAACAUGUCAUCUCUGAGGAAGAAAAGCAUCAAGAAUGUCCGCAGUCCGCGCCGCAUCGCGGCGUGUGUUGAGCAUCUCCCCCAGUCUUUCGUCGACCAGCUGUUGGCCCCUAAACGCAAGGCCAAGCUGAUGAAAGUGGCCGACACCGCGGAGGGAGGCGAGAGGGAGCUGGCGGAGUGGCUGUGGGAGAGCAGCCAGGCUCAGGCCCAAGAGGCGCUCGAUACGGGUUUCAUCCAGGGGAUUAAGAGUGGCCUUCUCGAUCCCACUGAUUAUGGUGGAUACACCGUUCAGGAUGCCGUGUAUUGCUUCAAUGCAACGAGCUACUACGGAAUCGCAUAUGAAAAAUGCAAAGAGUCUACUCUGAGGGAGUUCAUCCAAGGACGCAUCAAAAGUUACGCAGGCUACACAGAAGAGAUGUUUAAGCAGUGGUACAUCAAGGAUCCGAGGGGUAUUGCCAUGGGAACCGCCGCGGCCUCUUACUCUUCCUUCGAAAAGGGCGUGGCUACGAACUCCCAAGCAAUCUAUCUGUUGAUUGCCAUGCUGCCUUGCGAGCAACUGUGGGGGUGGCUUGCUGAGCAGAUUCAACCGGGCAUCAAUGACACGAACGUGUACAGCUUCUGGAUCGAGGAUAACCUUGGCGGCAGCCACAAACUGGCCAACUUCAUCAACGAGCAUACAGAGAGCUACGGGGUGCGCCCUGAAGUGGCCAAGGGGAUCUACAAAACAGCUAUGCAGUGUGAAGUGGAGUUCUUCAGAUCAGCCACAAUUGAUGUGGUUUAAAAACCACUCCAUUCAGUCACUAUUCUGGCAAAGGGUGCAUUAAUUUUAUGCAGGAUAGAUACAAAGAACAAAAUGAGUUCCUCGAACCAACUACGUUAUGUUUGAGCAAUUGAAUAAGACUUUGAUAAUGUACCGUGCCCAAUUUUGACGAAAAUGCAAGGUUAACCCGUUACAAUUUAAAAUUUACCAGAAAAGUCAAAUUUUGCCCGAUUUUGAUGCAAAUGCAAGGUUAACCCCUUGCAAUUUCAAAUUAAC